ensembl:lncRNA
GUAUGAAGAAAAACGGUGUAGUUGGGGAGGUGGGGUUUGGGGGAUAUCGCCAUAAAUUCCUGGUUUAUUGCCGUUCAGGAUCACGUAGCGCAGCACUAUGAGGCGGUACGUCUCGGCGAGGGAGGAAUGGCGGUGUGAAGGUUUAGCAAAACAGGUUCAGGGGACUGAGUGAAGAGUUUAUAUGAGCUGGUUUUAGCUUUUAGAACCGAGAAAUCAAGAAUAAAGUGCACAGCAAAUUGUGUGUGUGUGUGUGUGUGUGUGUGUGUGUGUGUGUGUGUAUCUGGAGGUGAAAGCGCUCAUGUCGAGGCUGGGACUAAAGUGAACCAGAUGGGGUGAGUGGAACAAGCAGCGUUUCUGAUUGCUGAGGAGCGGUGUUGCGUUAACGGAUUCGUGCGUGAGGUUGCGUGAGGUCACUGGUAUAAACACACUCGGAUUAAUCGCUCGUCCCUGCAGCUCGGUGAGCUUGGCCCGGUGUUUUUGUUCAGAGCAAAUGAGACUAUAACACCAGGGCUGUCGACCUGCUUCCUGCUGAAUAAUUCAACAACGAGGCCGAGCUCGUUACGGGAGGAUCUGGCAACCUCCGCUCGAUCCGAUUAAAAAAUAUACGUCUUUACACAACCCACAGCUCCCCGGGGACGGUUAUUGGGCCAUAAUGUUUGGAUAGAACGCAUGCUAGCGUAAUGGUUUUGGCAGAUAUCUUGAUAUGGUUCCUGGCCCGGGAUCGCGUAUGAGUCGGGUUGAGGUUUUUUUUUUUUAAAGCUUAAAAGGUCUCAUUUAUCAAUAAACAUCACCGUGAAAGACCGCGCAGAACUAUUUCGUGCGAUUCGAGUAGUUUUAGACACACACAACAACAAUAAAAAUUUUAAAAAAGCACAAAAAACUUCACAAGCAAAUUUCGAUGACGGAAAGAAAAAAAAAAAGCCGCAACAAACACAAAAAAAUCCGGUACGGACCGGAUAUCCGUCACGUCGAUAGCUUGACGGUGAAACUAUUCAGGUAGAGUGAUGCAUUAUAUCAUGAGGGUUCAUCAGUGGUGUAAUAGGUAAGAAUGAUGUGGGGAAACACACACACACACACACACACACACACACACACAUAGACAGCUGCAUUUAUCAUUUUUUUCAUAAUUUUUUAAAAAAUUGCUUCAAAUUUUUUAACACUGGCGGUUGUGUCAUCUGUCCAGUUGUGUAAUCUGUACUCUGAUUGGACGACGUGUCUGAUCGGACGACGCGUCUGAUCGGACGAAGUCUGCUAGUUUCCAAAGGCGUAUUAGGGGAAAAAUUGUAUGGUGAGUAAAUAAUCCACCUUGUUCACAUUUAUUACACAGGAGACUCUAUUUCACCUGCUGACGGCGUGUCACGGAUAUGUCUCCACAUAUGGAGGUCAGAUCUAGGGGGCGUGUCACUCAUCUCCUGACACGAAUGUGGUAGUGGUAGCUCAGUGGCUAACACGUUACUGAUCCGAAGGUCGUGAGGUCAAACCGCAGCACCACCAAGCCGCCACUGUCGGGCCCUUGAGCAAAGCCCUUAACCCUCGACUGUUCAGACAUAUAAACGUACGUCACUCUGGAUAAGCGCGUCUGACAAAUGUAAACUGUCUCUGAUAGGAGACGUGGAUCUACCGUCCGGGGCGAGAAAGAACUGGAUUCUUUUUUAAAUUCAGUCCAGCGUGUUUUUCUGACGUAUACAAAACCUCAGUGUACGUUAGGCGUUAAGACAUUGUGAUUUCUUAUACUGAUGUACUGUUUAUCUUUGAAGGCUGGGUUUUAGCCCUGCUAGCGCAUUCACACCAGCCACUCCUGAAGUCACAGGAAGUCCAGAAUCAAUCACUCGAGCCCGCUCUUUUUCCUGGAAAAAGACAGGAACACAAAACCUGAGAAACACCCAAUGUUCAAGAGAACCAAAAGCAAACAUUACGCAGACUCCAUGUCGCUUCAUUCAGCACCGUGAACACAAACAGAACGUGUUGGAACCCGUCUCGUUUCCAGCGCGAGCGCCAGCUCGCUUUUUUUUCUUCUUUUUUUCCAUCACAAAACGAGGAAGCCUCGUGUCACCCCCGUCCCUGCUAUCUUCACAAGGAAACCACAGACGGAUGGACGGAUGGAUGGUUGUUUUGGAUGGUGAAAUGUUUCCCGAGCGGAGCCUGAGCGUGAAGACAGAUGGGCAGAAAGACAAUCAUCUUGUCCGCCUGAAAGCGUCUGGUUGCCGCUUCUUUGUACCGACAAUCCCGGGUUGUGUCAGCACCACACUGCCAGGGUUUCAUUAUUUUUUUUAACAGAAUGUCAGUGUGAGUGAUGGAUGAAGGACUGCGAGUAAAGGGUUGAUGAAUGAUGUUGUUACUAGCACUGAAUGCAACAGAGUCGUCCCCUAAUUACUGCCUUCCUUCCCCGGCUGGAACGAGAUGAACUUCUUCCACCUCGGAUAAAAGAAAUACUCUACACCGAAACGGUGUAAUGGUGCAGCAGGGAUUGGAGCAGGAAACAGUUAGGAAGGGUGGAUCAAAGCGAUUACUGUAACUACCAACCCUGAUCUAACACACCUAAGCCUCAUCACACUGACUAGUUUGUUUGUUUUUUGUUGUCGUUUGUUUGUUUGUUUGUUUGUUUUUGUUUUUGCUGUCACCUCAUGGUAUGUAUAAAAUUAUACAUAUAACUGUAUAGUAAAUACGGCUGCUGCUGACACUGUGUUUAUUUGUUUGUUUAUUCAUUUAUUCAUUGGCCAAAGUGGAAAUAUAUCACUGUAUCAUUAUAUAAUAAAGCCAGAUAUUUUAGAAUAUGAACAUAUUUGAAAUAGACCAUUUUGUUGUUGUGCACUUCACAUGCGGUAUGUUACGGUGAUUAUAUUCGGAAUCAUAACCAAAUACAUUAUAUACUGCAAUAUACUCUCGAAUAUAGUUUCAAACUGUAAUGUAAUGUUUUUAAAAGAGAUAAAUAAAAAAUCAAG